rnacentral:rRNA from 1 species
UACGUAGGGUGCGAGCGUUAAUCGGAAUUACUGGGCGUAAAGCGUGCGCAGGCGGUCUUUUAAGUCAGAUGUGAAAUCCCCGGGCUUAACCUGGGAACUGCGUUUGAAACUGGAAGGCUAGAGUGUGGCAGAGGGGGGUGGAAUUCCACGUGUAGCAGUGAAAUGCGUAGAGAUGUGGAGGAACACCGAUGGCGAAGGCAGCCCCCUGGGCUAACACUGACGCUCAUGCACGAAAGCGUGGGGAGCAAACAGG